GAUUACAAAGUGGAUUUAUAUGUAUAUUAAUGAGGUGUUUGACAUUCUGAAUAUUUAAAAUUAUGGCUGCAUAAGUAUAAUUAGUGACAUUCUACUAUUAAUUAAUCCACUCUCUAAGUGGAUGUGUUUGGUCCUUGAUGAGGAAGUCUUGAGGUAAGAUUAUUUGGCAAGCCAGUGAAAUUAAUAAAACAUGCCAGGGGCUUAUUAAGAGCAAUUUUCGUUUAUUUUUCUUGAGUAGUUGAAUGAUUGGCAGGCCUUUCACCCCUUCCUCCUAAGCCUUAUGAUCGUGGGGCAACUAUUGACAUCCCUCUUGAUAGCUCAAAGGAUGUCAAAGCAAAGGAGAAGGAACUUCAAGCUAAAGAGGCUGAACUGAAAAGAAGGGAACAGGAACUAAAAAGAAGAGAGAAUGCCAUAUCACGAGCUGGUAUUGUAAGAGAGGAAAAAAAUUGUGGUGGCCUUAAUUCAUAUUCAGAAGAGAAGAUAGAAGCAAAACUGAAAGUAUAUUUUGGAGGUACUUAUUCAAAUUUUAGCAUAAUAAUGACAAUAAUUUGAAUAUUGAGCAUCAAUUUUAGGGAUUUUGCAUGUUAUGUAACUAUACUCUAAAAAAAGUGUGAACGCGUCCAUGUCGGUUUAAUUUAUUCAUUUUUUUAAAUAACUAUUUACUUGUCCAUACUAAAUGUGGUGGCCUUACAAGGAACAUUGGUUCUCAUGAUUCAAUAUAUUUUGAAAUUUGUUGAUAUAAUAUGCGAGUGUGAUUAAUUAUCUAAUCAAUUAUAAUAAUUGAUUAUCCUCUGGAUCCACGUAUUGUGGGUUGUCUCGUGACCGGUUGUUGAUAU